rnacentral:rRNA from 1 species
AUUGAACGCUGGCGGCAGGCCUAACACACGCAAGUCGAGCGGAUGACGGGAGCUUGCUCCUUGAUUCAGCGGCGGACGGGUGAGUAAUGCCUAGGAAUCUGCCUGGUAGUGGGGGACAACAUUUCGAAAGGAACGCUAAUACCGCAUACGUCCUACGGGAGAAAGCAGGGGACCUUCGGGCCUUGCGCUAUCAGAUGAGCCUAGGUCGGAUUAGCUAGUUGGUGGGGUAAUGGCUCACCAAGGCGACGAUCCGUAACUGGUCUGAGAGGAUGAUCAGUCACACUGGAACUGAGACACGGUCCAGACUCCUACGGGAGGCAGCAGUGGGGAAUAUUGGACAAUGGGCGAAAGCCUGAUCCAGCCAUGCCGCGUGUGUGAAGAAGGUCUUCGGAUUGUAAAGCACUUUAAGUUGGGAGGAAGGGCAGUAAGCUAAUACCUUGCUGUUUUGACGUUACCGACAGAAUAAGCACCGGCUAACUCUGUGCCAGCCGCCGCCGUAA